rnacentral:rRNA from 1 species
AGUGAACGCUGGCGGUAGGCCUAACACAUGCAAGUCGAACGGCAGCACAGUAAGAGCUUGCUCUUACGGGUGGCGAGUGGCGGACGGGUGAGGAAUACAUCGGAAUCUACUUUUUCGUGGGGGCUAACGUAGGGAAACUUACGCUAAUACCGCAUACGACCUACGGGUGAAAGCAGGGGAUCUUCGGACCUUGCGCGAUUGAAUGAGCCGAUGUCGGAUUAGCUAGUUGGCGGGGUAAAGGCCCACCAAGGCGACGAUCCGUAGCUGGUCUGAGAGGAUGAUCUGCCACACUGGAACUGAGACACGGUCCAGACUCCUACGGGAGGCAGCAGUGGGGAAUAUUGGACAAUGGGCGCAAGCCUGAUCCAGCCAUACCGCGUGGGUGAAGAAGGCCUUCGGGUUGUAAAGCCCUUUUGUUGGGAAAGAAAAGCAGCAGGUUAAUACCCCGCUGUUCUGACGGUACCCAAAGAAUAAGCACCGGCUAACUUCGUG